GAAGUUGCUGGCUGACUGGGCUUGCGAGGAAACCGCCUCGGAGCUGCAGCCGAAGGCCAAGGAAUCACUGAAGAUCGGCGAGGGAGGACAGGGGGUUCAUCAUGGGUGGCUUUUUCUCAAGUAUAUUUUCCAGUCUGUUUGGAACUCGGGAAAUGAGAAUUUUAAUUUUGGGAUUAGAUGGAGCAGGAAAAACCACAAUUUUGUACAGAUUACAAGUUGGAGAAGUUGUUACUACUAUACCUACCAUUGGAUUUAAUGUAGAGACGGUGACGUACAAAAACCUUAAAUUCCAAGUCUGGGAUUUAGGAGGACAGACAAGUAUCAGGCCAUACUGGAGAUGUUACUAUUCAAACACAGAUGCAGUCAUUUAUGUAGUAGACAGUUGUGACCGAGACCGAAUUGGCAUUUCCAAAUCAGAGUUAGUUGCCAUGUUGGAGAGACGGGGUCUACCUAUGGUGCCCAGGCUGGUCCCAAACUCCUGUCCUCAAGUGAUCCUCCUGCCUCGGCCUCCUAGUGUUGGGAUUACAGGAAGAAGAGCUGAGAAAAGCCAUUUUAGUGGUGUUUGC
rnacentral:sRNA from 1 species